rnacentral:rRNA from 1 species
UACGAAGGGGGCUAGCGUUGCUCGGAAUCACUGGGCGUAAAGCGCACGUAGGCGGCUUUCUAAGUCAGGGGUGAAAUCCUGGAGCUCACCUCCAGAACUGCCCUUGAUACUGGAGAGCUCGAGUCCGGGAGAGGUGAGUGGAACUGCGAGUGUAGAGGUGAAAGUCGUAGAUAUUCGCAAGAAGACCAGUGGCGAAGGCGGCUCACUGGCCCGGUACUGACGCUGAGGUGCGAAAGCGUGGGGAGCAAACAGG